AGUCCCGUGAGUGUGACUGGAUUUGCAGUAGCCAAGGCAUAGACACAGUCCAGAUGUCUCUUGACAAAAGAAUAGGUUACAAGAGUGUGGUAUAGAAAUAUUUUUUAUAUACUGUAUAUUCAUGAACUAUGUUUUCUCUGUAUAUAAAUAUAAAAAUCAAGAAUCCUGCAUUUAUGCCAGAAUGAAUGAACCUAGAGAACAUUAUACCAAGUUAAAUAAGCCUGACAAACGAGGACAGACACUAUGUGGAAACUAGAAUUGUCAAACUCAUAGAGCCAUCGAGUAAUAAGGCUUUUACCAGGAGCUGGGUGGAGGGGGAAAUGGGACACUGGUAGUCGAAGAGUAGAGAUUUUCCGUUGUAAAAUAAGUAAGUUCUGGGGAUCUGAGGUACUGCAUGCUGCUGGUAGUGUUUCUGUAUCCUUGAAAUUUGCCCAGAGAGAAAUAAUACAGUGUAGUCAUAGGUGGAAGUGUAACUUCCUCAACUAUAAUAAUUAUUCAGUGUAUGAGUCUAUCACAUGAUCACUUUGUACAGUACAUUUAUACCAUUUUUGUUAGCUGCACCUUAGUAAGGCUGGGAAAGAAAAAGAGACUUGAGGAGGGGGUGCUUUUCGCCUCUGAAUGGUGCUCAGUCCAGGCUUCAUGUUUCAUUGAUGACGUAUUUUGCAUACACAUGUGCCGGAGUCCAGCUCCAGCAGCCAAGGAAUUAGCCUGAAGAGAUGAGCGGUGUCGGUGGAGAAUGAUGCAGCCUCUGACUCAAGACCUCUGAAGACUCGUGUUGCCUGGGGAAGCCCUGAAGUUAAAGAAGAGGAAAGAAAAUGAGUGAGGCAUGGCUCGCUCUCAGGAACGAUUGACCUCUGAGGAUGUGGCCAUCAAAUUCACUCAGGAGGAGUGGGAAUUCCUGGAUCCUGCUCAGAGGGCCUUGUACAGGGAUGUGAUGCUGGAGACCUACAGGAACCUGCUGUCUGUGGGUACCUCAGGUGUCGUCCGGAGAACAAAGAGGGAACUCAGAACCCUCGGCUCCGCAGCAGGAAGGGGGGCCAGCCAAGGGAACUCGCGGAAGGACCCGAGGGGGCGGAGACUCGUCUGACUAUAGGAGCGGAGAGGCCCCUUCGUCUACUGUUCGAGUGCUUCCUGUCCGGGUUGGGCCAGCAAAUCCUGACGGAGAACGGAAUUAUCAAUAUUAGCCAUUCUCUACCAGCGACUUAUAUAACGAAAGCUCAAAACCCCUCUUUUUCUGAAAAGCCCCAAGCCCUUAUUGAUCUUUUAGACACUAUCCUGUUUACUCACAAUCCUACUUGGGAUGAUUGUCAGCAGCUGUUACAGGCGCUUUUCACCGCAGAGAAACGGGAGCGAAUUCUGUCGGAAGCGCGGAAACACGUUCCCGGAGUGGAUGGCAGACUGAUCAUGCAGCCCCACUUAGUGGAGGAAGGGUUCCCCUUCCAUGCGGCCGAACUGGGACUUUGAGUGCGCGGAAGGUAGGGAGCGUCUUCGGGUCUACCGCCAGACUCUAAUGGCCGGCCUCCGGGCAGCCGCCAGGAAACUGAGGAAUUUAUCUAAGGUGAAUCUGAUAAGACAGGAGCCAAACGAGAGCCCGACAGCCUUCUUAGGUUAAUGGAAGCCUUUAGGCAGUAUACGCACAUGGACCCCCAGGCUGAUGAGUCACGCGCAGCAGUUCUGUUAGCUUUCAUGAACCACGCAGCUCCAGAUAUCAGGAGAAAGUUACAGAAGAUAGAAGGGCUGGGGGAACUGUCAAUACAGGAUCUGGUAAGGGCAGCUGAGAAAGUGUUUAAUAACGGAGACACCCCUGAGGAGAGGAAGGAACGGAUUAGAUGGGAAGAAAAAGAAUAUGAGGAACGGAUUAGACAGGAGGAAGGGGAAUAUAGGGCUGAAGAAAACCGGAGAAAUCAGAAAGAGCUGGCUGAGGUCCUUUUUGCGGGGACGAGAAAGGGGCCCGAAGCCCCGAGAACUAAAGACACCCGGUCGGGAGGAAAGGAAAAACCAGCUAGACCUGCCCUAAAGAGAGACCAAUGCGCUUACUGCAAAGAGAAGGGACGCUGGAAAAAUGAGUGCCCCAAGAGAGAUCUGAAGAAAAAGACUGUAAGAAAGGAAGAAUCUUCCUCAGGGACCCACGUCUUAUAUGCAGGGCAAGAUAGUGAUUAGGGGGGUCAGGGCCCGGCACCUCUCCCCGAGUCCUGGGUAACUAUUAAUGUGGAGGGGAAACCAGUCGGCUUCAUGGUGGAUACGGGAGCCCAAUACUCAGUUCUCAACCAAAAAUUUGGGCUGAUGUCCAAAAAGACUAGCUUGGUCCAGGGACUUGGACUUGGUUUGCAAGCUGUGGGUCUCUACUUUUCUUGCUUUUGGUGUCUGCCCCCUGCUGUGAAGAGCCAACUCAUUGAAAAAGACCCUGAUGUUGGGAAGGUUUGAGGACAGGAGGAGAAAGGGGCAACAGAGGACUAGAGGGUUGGGUGACAUCAGUGAUUCAAUGGAUAUGAGUUUGAGCAAACUCCAGGAGAUGGUGAAGGACAGGGAAGCCUGGCGUGCUGCAGUCCAUGGGGUCGCAAAGAGUCAGACACGGCUGAGCAGCUGACCAACAACCCUGCUGGAGUGAGUCUGGUGUGGAGGCUUGUGCCUGCACAGUGAUGGUUAGAACUGGGUCUUGACCCUUUUGUGGGUAGAGUUACGUUGAAAGACGUGUAAAGGAACCAUUUGGACAGCCUGUCUGCUGAUGGUUAGGGCUGCAUCCUGGCCCUUUCAUCCUUUGGCCUUAGGGGCCCAUUGCUGUAGCCUACAGGUUCUGAGUGGAGCCAGUGUUGGGCCAAGAUGGAGACCUCACGCAGAUGAGUGCUCUCUCAUAGUUCUGCCCUCAGGAUCUGUGUCCCCACAGUGAGCCACAGCCCACCUCCCACCCCCCGGAGAUCCUUCAAGACCAGCAGGCAGGUCACACCAUCCAGGAUCCUAGCAAAUGAUUGUGUUUUGCUCUUCAUCUCAGGUUCGUCUCAGUGUGCAUGAGGCUUCGUCUGCACCUGUUAAGAGUGAAGUCUCUGUUUUCCCCAUUCCUGUGGGGCUCCUUUAAUCAGGGCUCACUGGUCUUCACAAGUAAAUAUAAAAGAUCCCUAUGGCCUUAUUCAUUGAUUCAUGGGUUGGUCAGCAUCCCACCUGGUAAAUAAACAGGUACUCCCAGAAGCUGUCUGUCCUCCUUACACCAAGGUAUAUAUGAAUCAGUGGGUUGUUUUCAAACUUUUGUGACCUGAGUAUGCUCAUAAAUGCCAUGACAUGUACAAAGUAGGUGCACUGAAGAAGCUGAGUUUCUUUAGCGGUGGGGUUCACUUCCACGAAAAACUGAAAUGGCAAAAUGGUGAAAUGAAAUGUUUAAUUUGGGAGUUGGCUGUGAUCAGGUGCUUGAAAGUCAAGCGAGUAGAGUUGUACAAGCACACAGUGAAGGGAAUGACUAUGGAUUCCAACUGUAUUUUGUGACAGGGAAAUAGUCUCCAGUGCGAAAUGCUUGCAAGCCAUCCUGCUGUUUCUCAGUGUUGUGUUCACAUUCAGAGCCCAAAGAUCUUGCAGAGAAAGUGAGAUGUGUUCUUUGUUCCCAACAGAAAAUACUUUCCUUGAUAACUGAUGUUAAAUUCAACUCAAAAUCACUUUUAUAUCACAGUUUGAGAAUCCCUGUUUUAAUCCUUUAUGCAUGCUAUCUUUUUGAACUUGAACUCCAAAAUAAGUACUGAUGUUGUUUCUCGUUUCCCAUAUGAAGGAACUUGAAUGGAAAAGAAGCACCCCAUCCCAGGAAGUGACUGAAUUGGAGCUUGAAUCCACGUUGUCUCGCCUCAAAGAUCUCUUCACCGUGUUGCUACAUUGAGGCCUAGGUUGUUGGCAUGGCUACAGUAAUUCUUGUUGCAGUUGACAGGGCCGAGGUGCAGGCAGGCACAAAGGGUGGGAUGAGUCACCUUGUCCCAGUUGUAUUUCUGGGGGAACAGCUAAGAGGAGGCUCCCUGAGAUGGUACCUCAGGCAGCAGACCAGGUGCAGGUGGAUUCUGCUUAUAGUAAUUCUGAGUAGGGCCAUCCAGCAGCUCUGUGCCCACAAAAAUCAAAUGCUGCUGGUCAGUUAGGAUGACCUCAGUGUAUUUACAAAGGUUUGUUGGAAGAACUCAACAGAAAAAUUUGAACAAAACUGUUUGGCCAAUCCAAUAAAUAUCUGUGUCCAGUGGGCCACCUCCCAGAGGAAGAAGACAAAGAAUAAACAUUUCAUUAAUGUA